GUAUCUAUAUAUACAUUUUUGCAGCCAUCUUGUGAAAUAAAUUAUGGAGUUGGAACUUAUUUAAAAUGGCUGCCACUGGCUUUUAAUUAUUGAUUUUUUUUUUGCAAUAAAUUAAUUAAUAAAUAAAAAACAUUCCAAAUAUAUUUCAAUCCCAUAUAUCACGCAAAUUUCUUCAAAAUUUGAAUUAGAUUUCGGUAGCUAUUUAAAAAAAAAUAUUUGACAGACCAAAAUACAAUUACAAUCCCUUAAAAUGAGCAAAACACACCUAAAUACAUUUCUUAUCAAUUCACUAAACUUAUUUCUCCAACAUUUGAACUAGAUUUCGACAACUAUUUAAAACAAAAAUUUGUUUGACAAACUAAAAUACAAUUGCAAUCCCGUAAAACAUUUAUUUUCAUUAUAUAUUUAAAUUAGCGGUGUACUGCGGUUUUUUUUACGGGACGGAUUUGGCGAAACGGGUUUGGAAGGACGUUACUUAAUAAUAACACUAAACUAUAAAAUAAAA
rnacentral:sRNA from 1 species